AUUGAACGCUGGCGGCAGGCCUAACACAUGCAAGUCGAACGGUAACAGGAAGCAGCUUGCUGCUUUGCUGACGAGUGGCGGACGGGUGAGUAAUGUCUGGGAAACUGCCCGAUGGAGGGGGAUAACUACUGGAAACGGUAGCUAAUACCGCAUAACGUCGCAAGACCAAAGAGGGGGACCUUAGGGCCUCUUGCCAUCGGAUGUGCCCAGAUGGGAUUAGCUAGUAGGUGGGGUAACGGCUCACCUAGGCGACGAUCCCUAGCUGGUCUGAGAGGAUGACCAGCCAUACUGGAACUGAGACACGGUCCAGACUCCUACGGGAGGCAGCAGUGGGGAAUAUUGCACAAUGGGCGCAAGCCUGAUGCAGCCAUGCCGCGUGUAUGAAGAAGGCCUUCGGGUUGUAAAGUACUUUCAGCGGGGAGGAAGGGAGUAAAGUUAAUACCUUUGCUCAUUGACGUUACCCGCAGAAGAAGCACCGGCUAACUCCGUG
rnacentral:rRNA from 1 species